rnacentral:rRNA from 1 species
CCUACGGGAGGCAGCAGUGGGGGAUAUUGCACAAUGGGGGGAACCCUGAUGCAGCGACGCCGCGUGGGUGAAGAAGCGCCUCGGCGCGUAAAGCCCUGUCAGCAGGGAAGAAAAUGACGGUAUCUGAAGAAGAAGCACCGGCUAACUACGUGCCAGCAGCCGCGGUAAUACGUAGGGGGCAAGCGUUACCCGGAUUUACUGGGCGUAAAGGGGGCGCAGGCGGGGUUGCAAGCCAGGAGUGAAAGCCCGUGGCCGAACUCCGGGACUGCACUUGGAACUGCGUGGCUGGAGUGCAGGAGAGGCAGGCGGAAUUCUUGGUGUAGGGGUGAAAUGCGUAGAUAUCAGGAGGAACACCGGUGGCGAAGGCGGCCUACUGGACUGCAACUGACGUUGAGGCCCGAAAGCGUGGGGAGCAAACAGGAUUAGAUACCCGGGUAGUC